rnacentral:rRNA from 1 species
UACGAAGGGGGGCUAGCGUUGCUCGGAAUCACUGGGCGUAAAGGGUGCGUAGGCGGGUCUUUAAGUCAGGGGUGAAAUCCUGGAGCUCAACUCCAGAACUGCCUUUGAUACUGAGGAUCUUGAGUUCGGGAGAGGUGAGUGGAACUGCGAGUGUAGAGGUGAAAUUCGUAGAUAUUCGCAAGAACACCAGUGGCGAAGGCGGCUCACUGGCCCGGUACUGACGCUGAGGUGCGAAAGCGUGGGGGAGCAAACAGG